CGCGCAAAGGACCUGGUGACUCUGAAUAACUUCGAGCUGAUCGCACGGUCUCCGUACCGGCGACGCAUCUUUCAAAUGUCUGCAUUAUCAACUGUCGAUGGUAGGUUCCAUGCCUACCAUGGUGGUAACGGGUAACGGGGAAUCAGGGUUCGAUUCCGGAGAGGGAGCCUGAGAAACGGCUACCACAUCCAAGGAAGGGCAGCAGGCGCGCAAAUUACCCACUCCCGGAACGGGGAGGUAGUGACGAAAAAUAACGAUACGGGACUCAUCCGAGGCCCCGUAAUCGGAAUGAGAACACUUUAAAACCUUUAAACGAGGAUCAAUUGGAGGGCAAGUCUGGUGCCAGCAGCCGCGGUAAUUCCAGCUCCAAUAGCGUAUAUUAAAGUUGUUGCGGUUAAAAAGCUCGUAGUCGGAUCUGUGUCUGGACGGUGCCGGACCACCCUGGCGGUCCGUCGUGUCGCGGCCGGCCGUGUCGCGGGACCACGUGUCCCGUCGGCGCGGUCGCCGUCGCGCUCGUCAGCCGUCUCGGGGUGUUAGUUACCGGCACGUCGGCCGGACGUAUUGUCGGCAGGCGGACACGUGUCUCGUGCUUCCGGCGCGCCGCGCGGCCACGCGUCGCGCGGCCGUCGGUGUUCGACGACGGCGGCCGCCUACUCCAAUCUUGCUGCGCGGUGCUCUUCACCGAGUGCCGUCGGCGGGCCGACACGUUUACUUUGAACAAAUUAGAGUGCUCAAAGCAGGCUCGAAUCUGGCGGGGCGGCUUCACGGCCGUCUCGUCAAAAGGCCCUGAAUACUGGUCGCAUGGAAUAAUGGAACAAGACCUCGGUCCCGCGCAUCUCCGCCCUUCGCGGGCGCGCGAAAUCGCCCUCCGGGGCGUUUCCGUGCGCGGGCCGCCGGGCCGCGGGCGCCAGUCGCCCGCGCGUCCCGCCGGGCCGGUUUUCGGGACCGGAGGUAAUGAUCAACAGAGACGGGCGGGGGCAUUCGUACCGAGACGUUAGAGGUGAAAUUCUUGGAUCGUCUCGAGACGAACUGACGCGAAAGCAUUUGCCAAGUACGUUCUCGUAUGAUCAAGAACGAAAGUUAGAGGUUCGAAGGCGAUCAGAUACCGCCCUAGUUCUAACUGUAAACGAUGCCAGCUAGCGAUCCGCCGGCGUUUCAUUAACGACCCGGCGGGCAGCUUCCGGGAAACCGAAGCUUUUCGGUUCCGGGGGAAGUAUGAUUGCAAAGUUGAAACUUAAAGGAAUUGACGGAAGGGCACCACCAGGAGUGGAGCCUGCGGCUUAAUUUGACUCAACACGGGAAACCUCACCAGGCCCGGACACCGGAAAGAUUGACAGAUUGAGAGCUCUUUCUUGAUUCGGUGGGUGGUGGUGCAUGGCCGUUCUUAGUUGGUGGAGCGAUCUGUCUGGUUAAUUCCGAUAACGAACGAGACUCUGUCCUGCUAACUAGGCGGGUAAACCCGGGUCGGCGUGUGCGCGGCGCUGGCGGUUUCGGCCGUCAGUGUUCGCGUACCCGUCGGCUCGGCCCGGUAUCCCCGAACGCGUUCGCCCGUCGUCCACGGCGGUCGUCGGGCGCGGCCGCGCCAUCCGCGUCCCGGCGUUCGGCGGGCGUAUGUCGGCCGGGGGGCAACCUCCGGUCGGCCUGCGUCCGUCGUGCGUCGGGCUCCGUGGUGAAGCGCGCCGUGUUCGCGGCCGUCGCCGGCGGAUCACGAUACGUUACUAGGGCUACCGCCGGCUCCCAGGAGCUUAAACUCUUCUUAGAGGGACAGGCGGCGGACGAACAUAGCCGCACGAGACUGAGCGAUAACAGGUCUGUGAUGCCCUUAGAUGUUCUGGGCCGCACGCGCGCUACACUGAAGGAAUCAGCGUGUUUAACAAUCCUGGGCCGACAGGCUUCCGGGUAACCCGCUGAACCUCCUUCGUGCUUAGGGAUC
rnacentral:ncRNA from 1 species